UACAGAGGUCCCAAGCGUUGCUCGGAUUCACUGGGCGUAAAGGGUGCGUAGGCGGUCGGGUAAGUCUGAUGUGAAAUCUCACAGCUUAACUGUGAAACUGCAUUGGAUACUAUCCGGCUCGAGGAAUGGAGGGGAGACUGGAAUACUUGGUGUAGCAGUGAAAUGCGUAGAUAUCAAGUGGAACACCAGUGGCGAAGGCGAGUCUCUGGACAUUUCCUGACGCUGAGGCACGAAAGCCAGGGGAGCAAACGGG
rnacentral:rRNA from 1 species